rnacentral:tRNA from 1 species
GGAAGGGUGGCCGAGUGGUUUAAGGCGCCGGUUUGCUAAACCGGUGUACGAUCGUAAGGUUGUACCUGGGGUUCAAAUCCCCACCCUUCCG